GAAACAGUGUGCUGUUAUGAGUUUUCCCGAGGAGGGAAAAAAAAAAAGGCAGUUAAAAGGCUUUUGAGUUCAACAAAUGUGUCCUGAGAGCCAAAUGGAACAGGGGUGAAAUCCUAACUAAAACCCGUGGGGAAUAAUUUGUUGUUAGCAGCAUCUGGAAAGGAAGCGUGGCGACGGCUGCAGAGUUUUGUUUAGAGAACAAGUGGAAGAAAAGGGGCUUUAAAAAGCUCACUGCUUCCUUUCCACAAGCUGUUCAGAGUCUGGGCACAUGCGGAAGGCAGGAACCCAUGGCCAAGGGAAAAUGCGAAACUGGAACCUCAGAAGCGUGGUUUAGAAUCUGCUUUGGUCUCCAAGGCUCUCAGUCCAACGGCGGGCAUGGAGCGAAGGCUGCAGGCGUUGUCCUUCCGCGGCUGCCCUGGUUGGCUCAGGGGGAUGUCUUCCUCUCACUGACAUACCAGUCAGAAUGUUGCCCAUUGUCCAUCAGCACAGUUACUCUGACACCAGACCCUGGCUAGUAUGCCACUGACACUGGCUGAUCCAAGGCGGAAUCAGAAUCGUCAAGGACAAGAUGCAAGGGGAUCCAUGUCAGAGUGGGAGGGAAGAGAGUUGGGGGGCAGUCAUUUUAAUACACUGUAGUCCUAAGGUCUCCAGAGUUUUCACAGACCCGGAUGAAGGAGGAGGCUAAGAGUGCUGCUGAAACAGACUAUGGGGACAGUGUGUUGUUACUCCUUAUGCGAGACUAUGGUGGAAUGGCAAAAUAAACAUAUGCAUCAGCAAUUAGAAAUUUACGGG
rnacentral:lncRNA from 1 species